rnacentral:rRNA from 1 species
GACGAACGCUGGCGGCGUGCUUAACACAUGCAAGUCGAACGGUAAGGCCCUUCGGGGUACACGAGUGGCGAACGGGUGAGUAACACGUGGGUGAUCUGCCCUGCACUUCGGGAUAAGCCUGGGAAACUGGGUCUAAUACCGGAUAGGACCCUGGGAUGCAUGUCCUGGGGUGGAAAGCUUUUGCGGUGUGGGAUGGGCCCGCGGCCUAUCAGCUUGUUGGUGGGGUGGUGGCCUACCAAGGCGACGACGGGUAGCCGGCCUGAGAGGGUGACCGGCCACACUGGGACUGAGAUACGGCCGAGACACCUACGGGAGGCAGCAGUGGGGAAUGUUGCACAAUGGGCGCAAGCCUGAUGCAGCGACGCCGCGUGGGGGAUGACGGCCUUCGGGUUGUAAACCUCUUUCAGCACCGACGAAGCGCAAGUGACGGUAGGUGCAGAAGAAGGACCGGCCAACUACGUGCCAGCCGCCGCCGUAA